AGGCAGUGAAAGUUCUUGCAAAAAGUCCUACAUUUGCCAGAGAUCCAAGGCUUUGAAGCAGACAUAAAUCGCCUUUUCCUAUAUACCUGAUUCAAGGAAUUUGGUAUCAUCAGCCAGUGAGUAUGAGAUAUAGAGAGAGAAAGCAUACCAACUUCAGACUCGAGAGCAGUGGAUAUGGGAACUGAGCAGUGAAUGAAAGAAACAAGAAGGAGUGAACUCAUGUUUAAGCUGCGCCUGGAAUGGAGUUUGAAGUGGCAAUCAAUAUCAAUGAUGGUGGUUUGGUGUUGAUAUUUGAUAGUGCUGUUCUUGGUCUUGUUGAUGGGUCAAGACAUUCCUGUUUUAAAUGGAGAGGAGGCAGGCUUUCCACCUGGGAACAACUCUGGGGAAGGCUUUAGUCCACUCUCCUUGUGAAGCGCGUGCAUUUUCUUAUUUGCAACGGUAAUAAAUGUAUUUAAUUAUAAUUUAAUAAAAAGCUUAACCCACAGGUUUGAUUUA